rnacentral:rRNA from 1 species
AGUGAACGCUGGCGGUAGGCCUAACACAUGCAAGUCGAACGGCAGCACAGUAAGAGCUUGCUCUUACGGGUGGCGAGUGGCGGACGGGUGAGGAAUAAAUCGGAAUCUACUUUUUCGUGGGGGAUAACGUAGGGAAACUUACGCUAAUACCGCAUACGACCUACGGGUGAAAGCAGGGGAUCUUCGGACCUUGCGCGAUUGAAUGAGCCGAUGUCGGAUUAGCUAGUUGGCGGGGUAAAGGCACACCAAGGCGACGAUCCGUAGCUGGUCUGAGAGGAUGAUCAGCCACACUGGAACUGAGACACGGUCCAGACUCCUACGGGAGGCAGCAGUGGGGAAUAUUGGACAAUGGGCGCAAGCCUGAUCCAGCCAUACCGCGUGGGUGAAGAAGGCCUUCGGGUUGUAAAGCCCUUUUGUUGGGAAAGAAAAGCAGCAGGUUAAUACCCCGCUGUUCUGACGGUACCCAAAGAAUAAGCACCGGCUAACUUCGUG